rnacentral:rRNA from 1 species
CCUACGGGAGGCAGCAGUGAGGAAUAUUGGUCAAUGGACGAGAGUCUGAACCAGCCAAGCCGCGUGAAGGAUGACUGCCCUCUGGGUUGUAAACUCUUUUUAUAUGGGACUAAAACAGGGUAUGUAUCCCCUCUUGUAUGUACCCUAUGAUUCAGGAUCGCGUAACCCAGUGCCAGCAGCCGCGGUAAUACGGAGGUUCCGAGCGUUAUCCGGAUUUAUGGGGUUGAAAGGGUCCGUAGGUGGGUGGUUAAGUCAGUUGUGAAAGCCUGCGGCUCAACGGUGCAAUUGCAGUUGAAACUGGCAGGCUGGAGUGCAGUAGAGGUGGGCGGAAUUCGUGGUGUAGCGGUGAAAUGCUUAGAUAUCACGAAGAACUCCGAUUGCGAAGGCAGCUCACUGGACUGCAACUGACACUGAUGCUCGAAAGUGUGGGUAGCAAACAGGAUUAGAUACCCGAGUAGUC